GUAAGUUCCACUGAUUAUACUGGAAGAUAAUAGCAUAAACAUGUCAAUAUUUCUAUAGUUUUGAAUAGAUACAGACCUAUAAGUAGCAUAUCUGUAUGUGGCAGAGUUCAUGCAGGAGAUAACCCUAAAAAAGGCCUUUCUUCUUAGAAAUAGUUGUACUAAAUUCAUGGGAACAGCUCAGACAAAUGUAUUCCACAGAGCAGGAAUAAAAAUUGGCCUAUACGUGCUGACUUCUGAAAGAAGUCAAAAUAAGCAGAUACUUUUGUAACACAGAGUAUUUCUGCUGUAAUAGAGAGUUGUUCUAGAAAUCCAAAGACACAGUCAACAUUGCUUGUGAUGAAUACUUAUUAGAACUGCUGAAGCCUGGAAGUAUAAUGUCCACUCUAAGCUUUAUGAACCUCUUACAAAGCCUGUCAGGCUUCUCAGGCCUGUACCGUAUUGUUCACACAUUGUGCUCUAGCAUCACCAUCUGUGAUACUUCUGAGCCAUGACACACAGGAAGGAGAGAGCAAGCAUUACAGUUCACAAAGGAAUAUGGGUUAAGGAUUGUUUACAGAAAUAAGCAUAUAUAAAAAAACUAUGGGAAGUAAGUCGCCUUACCCUUACACUGUGGCAAAGAAAGCUUUUUAUCUAUCACAUUUCAUAAUAAAUUGUGAUAGAAAUUACAGGCAUACUUCGGCAUUGUACCAUACAUAAUUAUAUCAUUUCUGUAACAUCAUAGAUAUUACUGAUACACCUUAGGACAUACCUUAGGAUAGAACUGAAAUAUUUUCCCAAGGUAUUACACUAUUAGGGAAAUCUAGAUUUCCUGGAGGGGUAAAUUCUGACACCCAUAGUGAUGCUAAGCAGAACCAUACCUCAUGACUAGUCUCACAAACAUAAUAGACUAAUUCACUGAGGAAUUUCUUAUAAUGGUUUUGGAUCUGUAAGCAAGCCCACACUUUAAUAUAUGAAGGCUAUUUUCCAAAUCCUUCCUCAGCUGACAAUUUCCCAAUCAAACGGUGAACAGCAUUAAAAAACACCCCGCAGCAUUGCCAGGUUUGAAAUAAGUGAUAUUGUUGUCUUAAAUACAAAUGCUGAUGUGCUGUGCAAGGAAGAUAUUCCACUUCCUUGAAGAACAGAGAAGAGCAAAAACACUGAAGUAGUUUUGAUAAAUGCUGUCAGUUUCUAACAAAAUUUGGAAAUUCGAAUGCUAUUAAAUAGAGCUACUUCACACUUUGAAUUUUCAUUUCUUUGUCAGUGGAAACUACCAUUGGGAAUAUGACAGAUACUGAUCCCAUGAGUAUGUUAAAUGGUUCAACUAUGUCCUUGAGAAUAGCCUGAGGCAAUGAAAACAAGAGACUGCAGUCUCCUGGCCUACUGCUUCUGUAGUGAACUUCUUGCAAGCUAUUAAAACAAACUAGCAAACAGCUCUAUAAUUCAUCGUACACACAAAGAAAUUUCUGUGAUUCAGUAGCAUUUCAAAUAUCAUAAAAAGCUUGAAAGUCUAUAGUCUAACCACAAAUACGUUUUUUGGGAACAUCUCCAUUUUGGGCACGCUAGUAUGUUUGGUCUAACUUUCUUCUCAUGUUACUGCUAUCAGCAUCACUGCAGAUCGUUUCCAACUUGCUAAUCCAGACAUGAUUUUAUGAAGUUGUCCCACUUUGUCAACAGACCCCUCCCAGUAUGAGACACCAGCAGUUUGUGAGCUGGGCAUGCGACACCAUCAAGAGUCUGCACAAGUAACUGCAGUUUACAAACAGGAGUAAAGAGUGGAACUCUCAGCAUAUGUUUUGGAUUGUAUUUAGUAUUGUCAUUUACCAGGGCCAACCCAAUUCAUAAGAAUUCAUAGUAAAAGAACACAGUCCAGGUGCAAGAAAUACAGAAGAACAUCAAGACAAUAUGCUGUGAACAGCACUGUUUUGAUACUUAAAUAUCAGAGGUUUUAGGAGUUAUUCAUUGAAAAGAAUGAUCAGAGUAGAUUAGAGAAGUGAAAGGUAUUCUGCAACCCAUAACAGCAGUUGCUGCAGCCUUUCAUUAAGUCAUUUUCUAUUUUCCUUGAGUAGGAGCUAUGGAGUAUUUUGUAAAGUCGUACCUUUUAAAGUCCAGAAAAUAAUCAGUGAAGCAGGAUGCUUCUUCUCCUGGAAGAGAAAUUAAACUCACUCCAUGCUCUAAAAACUCAUCAACUCAUGGCUGAGCAACACAUUGUAGGGUUGAAUAUAAUGAGGUUGCUGUAUAAUGUCACAAUACAAAAAACUGGAACAGUGAAAAGAAAAUAAUAAUCCUUCUGCAUUCUGAUAUAACACAGCUCCCUUUCCCCCUACAAAAAAAGGUUCAGAAGAAAACUAGGAAACAGAUUCAGGCAUAGAAAUCUCUUAUAGUUCAUGUUAAUUAGCCAGUUUUCUGUCAAAAUAUAUGCAGAGAAACACUCAACUGAGAUUCUUCAGAGAUGAUCAGAAAUGAAUUGUAUAUGCUGUUGUAAGCCAGUCUUUUUCACUGUAAAUUAGCACAGCUCUAUAGAGAGCAAAAUCAUAUUUGAUUGCUCAGAAGUGACCACUAAUUAACAUUUCACUUGCAGUUUCAUUAGUUGCCUGCAACUCUUUGGCCUUAAAAACUCUACUGAAAGAGGAAUUAAACCUCACCUCGAAACGGUUACCAUCAGAUUUGGAGGCUGAGUCUGAUUAUUUAUUCAUAAUCCUAAAUUUUGUGCAGUCCUGAUUAUCGUCAAGGCUCAGGAUGAUGUUCUCUCAGCCUUAUGCAUCUGAUACACUUGGAGACUGACCACAAGAAUAACCAUAAAAGCAGGCAAUAAAAAUAACUUGGUAAACUGGUAGACUGCAAUAAAAAUAGAGAAGCAAGAGCAAAUAAGGGAACUUAACGGAUGACCCCACAAGCAAGAGCCAUUUUCCUUUUCAGAAAUCACUUUCAACUCUGCAAUUUAUGUUUGGCAACAUUUUCAUUAUCUGAAAAUUGAAGUUGCAUACUAGUUUAUAUCCCGUGUUUUUAGGGCUAAAGGAAAAAAAAGAACAACUAAUAUAUACUCAUGCUGAACUGAAGAGGGAAGCUGGUUAUCCCAAUCCUUUACUUCUGCUGUGUUUUCCCAGAACCUUGACAUAGACACUGCCUUCCUACACUGUGGCUUUCUGGUACAGCUAGAGCAUAGUUCGUUGCUGAUCUAUAUACCAUUUUAUAUCAGUUAAGAAGAUACAGCUUGUUCUGUGUUCUAAUAGGCAUCAGGCUGUGGACUGUGAAAGGCAAGAGUUCUCAUAAUGAAGCAGUACUAGUGACACAAAUCUUCUAAUCAGGCAUUUAGUAAUUUUGCUUUGCAGCUUGGAAAAUGUCUUUCAUUUAAAUUCACCUCAUAGGAGCUGUGUGUCAGGCAAUUAUUCUCUACCCGAAGAUUUCAAAGUCCAAGCAAAUUAAAUGGACUCUGUUCUUAAAGUAAUACUGCCCUCAAAGCAUUAUUACUGUUGUUAAGAAAUAAGAAACCUAAAGUCAAAAAAGGCAUCUGUUCUCUUGUACAAAUACAGGUACAAUUCCUACACAGGCUUUGGCAAUCAGAUGUGCAUAUUUACAGAUCUAAUGUAGAGUUUCUUUUGAUGAAUAUAACAACUGAACACUUACAAUUCUAUAAGAAUACACUGAAAAAGAGAACUGAGUUUCGUCUUCAGAACACUGAGGCUUCAGAAUUUGAUUCAAAAUAUGAUGGCCUACAGUGAUACUGGUUCUCAACCUGCCUAUACGUUAGCUAUGUAGAACUGAGUUUUUCCAGGAGUAGACUCUUAUGGAAGAAAAUAGCCUUACAAGACAUGCUGUCAUUGAGCAUUUGUCUUCCUUUGAGUCACUACUGGAUACAUGUUUUUCUGAAGUACAGUAAAACUCCACAUUGCUAAAUUUCAGUCUCUGAUUCCCUCCUAACUGAAGCAAAAAGUAAAUGGUUGAUUUCCAUAUAGAUGUUCAAAAAACUUGCUGCUAUUUACAAUCAGCUGCCCAAAUUUCAGGCCAUCUGGAAGUCUACAGAGGGACAUGAAAUACAAAUAAAUAGAAUUCUGGGGAAUUAUAGGCUGGCAUUCUAAAUUUGCUAAGAAGAACCACAGACAAACUAACAGCACAGCCCUGGAAAUAAGCAGAUGCAGUAUGACUCAAAGAGGUGAAGAAAAGUUUUUGACAAGAGAAGUAUACAUUCAAAGUGUUGUAAGAGAGAUGAGGCACAAAAAUCCUUUAAAACAGAACAGAGUCUAUAGAAAGAUCUUUUUAAAUCCUUGAAUUAGAAAUUGUUCUCCAAAGUACCUUCACUAGCAAUAUAGUUCCACUUAAAGAGCACGAAGAAAACAAUGUCCAAUUUGACUUGAGAGACCAUCGAAUUUCUGGGCCAGUUACUGGUAAAACAGAUCUAAGGCAAAUGAAAGCCAGCAAAAGAAAUCCACAUUCUAAUCAUGUAAAAAGUUACUAAAACACUACUUAAAAAUGACAACAUUUCCUCUCAUCCCAUAAAGAACUGCUGCCAUGAUCAGACAGGCUUUCAACACUGUAACACUGUGUUACUGUCAUCCUUUCUUGGUUAUGUUCACAAAAGCAAUAUGCUUGCAGCAGUUCCUACCGAGAACAUCCAAGUUGUUGGUUGUCAUACACUUCAGUAAAUCUCUCCUCCAUUUAUUUAUGUUAUUUCAACGCCCAUCCUGUGUAUCUAUUCAAUAAUGGAACACACAGAUUGCAAGUUGCUGCAGUCACUGUGGCUAUGAAAACCUAGGAUCCUAGGAUUGGUUAGACUAACUAACAUUUUUGGCUCAGUAUAUUUCUUCGUUGAUUUUUUUUCUGGAGAGCAAGAUUUACUUUUUUUUUUUUUUUAAUUUUAUAAAUUGUUUACAUUCUCAGCAAAAAUUGUACAACACUUGACAUAGUCAGUUUACCAAUAAUGUCAACUAGUCAUAACCUUUAGAUUACUUUUUUCACGUUUAACCAGUUGGCUAGUUUCAGCACCAUUUAUACUGUGUCAUUAAACUGAAAAAAGAUAAGGCAGUGGACAAACACAAAGGUAGUUAAAUACUACUUUCAUAGGACCCGAAGUAAUAUUUGCAAAAGCACCUCAGUGAUCUAAGAUCUAGAAUACAUAAUCUGUGAGGAAAGGUUGAAAGAAGAAUUAAGUCUAGAGAAAAAGGAUAUUAAAGGAUGGCAAUACAGCAACUGUCUUCAAAAACGCAAGUAAACAUUUCAUGAAGAAAAAAGGAUACAAUUAUUCUCCAUAUGUUUGCAGAAUAGGAAAAUAAACAAUGGGCUUAGGUUGCAACAAAACAAACAAAUGAAACUAAGAAAAAUACCAGUCCCACAAAAAGAGCUAGUGAGUACUGCAAUGAACAAGGCCAGGUAAUGCAGCCUCUAGAACUGCAAAUUUAAGAACUGGGAAGGCACAAGAAGACCACUUCAGACUCCUUCCACACCUAUUUUCUGAUGUUGCCGUUUCCCACUACAAUCAGUGGUAAUGAAGUUACCAAGCUUCAAAUUUCCAAAGAUAUGUUGGCAUAUGCAGGACAUAACGAUAAGAAGGUCAACUGGUGCUUCGGAAGAUUAUUCUUUGUACUUAUUGAUAGUAUUUGGACUUUCUGGAAGACUACAAGACUCUAGUGCAGACAAACAAACAUUCAGGCAAUAAAAUACCAUCACUUCUUUUGUUCAUAAGAAGCCUUUUAUGUGGAAAAUAAAAAAUUAGCAUUAUCUUCUAAUACCUAUAGGAGGAUUUCAGCUGGCCCAAGUGAACAGAAUAAGCACUGCAUCACUGGUGUAUGCUAAGCACGGAGCACAUAGACUUGAAAAAGCACUGAAAUGAAGCAGUGCUCAAAAUAAUGUGAAUGCUUCUUAUAAAGUUGGAGACUUGAUUUAUUAGAAAUGGUUCAAACAUUUUUCCUAAUUAUUGUGAGCAAAGUGCCUAACAAAACUAGAAAAAUGUCUCCAGUUUGGACUCCACUGAGACUAAUACUCAUCCUUCACACUUCAAAGGGCAAAGUUGGGUAGGAGAGAAGACAGAGCAUUGGUUUUAGUCUUAGUCAGAACACUAAAAAGGGCCAUUUAAUGUUAGUAUGUGAGCCAUAGCUAUGUUUUUCAAAUAAAAUUGAAAAUAAAUCUUGAAGUUGAGUUGAAAAAUCUUGCUAUUACCUCAUAACCAUAUUUCUCUUCACAUCUUAAGAGUCAGAGAGAUUCAGAAAUAUAUGCAACACUUUCCCUAGUACUUCAAGGAAGUUGUGCUUCCAUUUUUGAUAGAUAAAACAAGGCAUAGAGUCAAGAUUCAUCUCUGGAAAUGAAUCUAAAUCAGGGUUAGGAAUUUGAUGGUGGGCAUCAUAUUGCCCACCUUUAGAUUUCGAAAAGAGAGAUGCCUGAAGGUGACACACUGAUCUGUAGAUUUAGUUCAUAGAUAACAAUCUUGGCCUAUGUCUGACAAAUUUCAGAUCUCUCUUUUUAGCUUUUUUUUUUUUUUUCCUGCUGUGUUAGACAACUUACCCAUUCAAUGUAAUAUCUGUGCCAAUGGCCAUUCUGGGCUGCCUUAUUCUGUAUUUAUAUGUCAGGUUAUACACUGUAUUCUAGAAGCAAAUGCAACAUCAAAGUCUCUUUGGAGAUAUGUCUCAGAAUGAUUUGCCAACAGGCAUGAACCUAGCUAUUGUUAGCACCUAAAUUAGGAUUCUAGGAGAUCUGGCUUCCAGUUCAAACCACAAAAACGUGAGAGAUCUCUAGUGAGAGAUAUCUAAUGCUCAGAAAGCUAUAGAACCCUACACCUAAUUUAUAUAUACAGUCACUGUUAAGCCAUAUAUAAAAAUCAGCUAAACAUUACCUUAGCAACUCCAUGCUGAACAUGGUCCUGGUAUCAAAGCACACACAAGAAAAGAUAGUACCUUCUUUCCCACUGUUCAUGAUUUGAUUUCCACAUAAAACCUACCGGGUAUGACAGAAACCAAACUUCAUGAAGUUAACCCUUUAUACAUUUUUUCUUGGUUGUUUAUCUCAACUAUUUAACAAUGUGACCAAUCCUGACAACUUUAUAUUAGUGUAUUAAAAGCUGCUCACUUCCCAAUUUCAUUUAGCCUAGGUUGAAGUCAAGACUUCAAAAGUACAUUUCUUUCCAAAUGCACAAAUAAUCUUGGGUCAAAUGAAAAGCAACGUUGAUAAACCUCUUUUGCUACUGCAGCAGACCAAUGAAAAACAAUAUCUGUGGUAUAGCUGGAAUUCUCUCAAAUACCUGUAAGAUAAGACCACUGUCAUUACAACAGGCUGAAGGUUUAAGAAGUGGUCAAAGAAGGGAGUCCUGUAGAGAUGGGAUGGUGUUGAUCUGUCCAAAACUCCCCUUAUUGCUGCAGAAGUUUUGACUACAAACUUGUUUAUUGCAAACUUGUUGACAAACAGACUUGCGUCUAGCAGGCAUAAAAGUAUGCUCUAGUGAAGCUUGGUAGGGGCUCUGAGACUUUGAAACUUUGGGGUCAGCGCUCUCACAGACCAAGUAUCCCCAUUGACUGGACCAAUGCUGGAAACAAACCAGUGAUCUCAUUCUUGGUCUGUCUCUCAAUCUCUCAUUCUUUCUUUUUCCCUCAUAAAGUUUUUAAGAGUCACAUAGUUUAGCUGCACAGCUUAGGUAGAUAUAACUGUAAGAGUGCCAAUACUUUUAAGAUAAUUGUAGUACAGAAAUUUCUCAUUAAAAUUGAUGAUUAUAUUUGGACUUUGAGCAUCAGUUUCACCUUAAUCUAACCAGGGGAGAUUUACAAAUUUGGUCACCUCUCCCUCCCUUCACGAGCAGAAUGUGACAGCUUUUGAAAUUAGAGAGCACUUACUCUAAAGCAUGUCUUCUGACUUAGCCUUCUGUGACAUGAACAGUAUGGUAAACAUUUUAAUUUGGGACUUUGAUAGAAGGAAUGACACGAAAGUGUAAAACUGUUUUUGUCAUCCUGCCAGUGGUGUAUGAAGAAAAUACUUUGUCUGAAAGCAAACAAGGAAGGAUUUGGAAGUGCAAGUAACAAGGCUGGAGAUGUGUUACAGGUCAAGCUAGUAGGUCAUUGACAGAACUUGACAUUUCUCUUCUAUUCCUUAUCUCGAUGAAAAAACCCAAAGUUUAAUAGAUCAUUACACAAAGAAAGCACUAUUGCCAAUACUAGUAUUGAUACUAAAAAUCUUGUUUUGACAUCUAGAGUGGUCUUGCUAUCAACACGAUUAAUCACCAACAGCUAGUCAACUUGGCAACAUUAGCAGUAAUUUAACAAAGUUUACCAACUUAUCUUUUAACUUGCCUGCAUGGCCAGUGCAACUCAUUAACAAAAAUAUUAAAAAUGUUUUGAUGAUAUGUUUUCAUGUCGUAUUUUUCUUUUUCUUUUUCCUUGACUAGUUAAGAGCAAAUAUAACCGUCAAUAGAUAUGCAUUUGUGAGAAAGCUGCAGGAAGUCAGGUAGAAAAUGACUAACAAGGAAGACUUAUGACACCAGUAACAUCAAAAUGUAUAAUAAAUUUCAGAACUAUUUGAUCAAGCUUUGCAUUCAUACAUGUAUGUGUACAUCUACCAGCCACACUUAUGGCUGUAACUUAUCAUUAUGUUUAAGUGUUAAAAUACUGUGGAAAAUUCCUUUGGGCAGUAAAAUUUUGAACUUUUUGCUGUACUGAUGUUGCUGCAGAAGUCAUUUUAAGUUUUGGGAACUAUGUACACCAAACGUAGGUGUACACACAGUGUAGGUCUGAAGACAAUCUUGAAAGUGAUUAGGGUACUCCUGAUUCUGAAAAAACUAAGAUAACUUCAUUGAAGAACAUCUGGCAAUCUAAUACAUUUUUGUUAGUGAACAAGCAGUAGAUAGGUUUCAAUUUUUACAGAUGUGUAAUUAUCCAAAAUUCUUUGGUGAAAGCCUAUAGCUUGCUUGUGAAUUAGUACAUUGGACUUUUUUAAAGUGAUGAGCCUUUUAUUAUUCAUUCUGUGUUGUAACUGAAGAUGGCAACAUUUUAUAAUCACAGAACCAUAGAAUGGCUUGGUUUGGAAGGGACAUUAAAGACCUUCUAGUUCCAACCCCCUGCCUUGGGCAGGGUUGUCAGCCACUAGAUCUGGCUGCACAAGGACCCAUGAAGCUUGGCCAUGAAUGCCUCCAGGGAUGGGGCAAACACAGCUUCUCUGGGCAGCCUAUAUCAAUGCCUUACCACCCUCUGAGUGAAGAAUUUCUUCUUAACAUCUAAACUUAAAAAUAAAUUUCCAAUUCUGAUUUGCUAGUCUUUACCACUCCCCAAACAAUGAAAAUGUAUUUCUGCUGACAUAGCAUGGAUUUGUAUCUAUUUAGCUAAGCAAUAUCGCUUUGGGUUCAAGUAGUAGGUCCUUGCUUUGGCAUUUUAAAACUCUGUUCUGUCCUACAUUAGAAUAACUCAAGUUCUGUGUCAAUAAAUUCAAAUGUCAUCAAAACUAGAUAUACUUAAACAUUUCAGUGAACAAAUGUCUUCUCUCCACACUCCUACCCUCUUCACCUUUCCUACAAUUAUGAUUUUAAGCAGAAAUUUGUUAGCAUGUUAAUUCUUAGAAAGUUAAUGAAAGGCUUACAUGCACAGAGGGAUUUUACUGUUUUUAUUCAUAGAGCACCCUCUGCCUCAGUUCAGUUAUGAUUUAUCUUGUUCAGUAUUAAGACAUAUUAGCUGCGUAAUACUACAAACACCACUCCUGUUUUAGGAAACAACUGAUAACUUCAUACAGUAGAAUUCUCAGUCCUCCCUAACUAAAUUUAUCUGUGAGCACAUGCAAGUACAAGCCCAUAGCACACCUACAGAUUCACUCACGUUAAAUAUCUGGAUAAUUCAAAACGUAAUCUAUAUUUCCAGUAUUUGUUCAGAAUAUUAUUUUAUUAGCACAACAAAGGCAUCAAUAGCCAGUUCAGCUUUAAGCCAGAUAAUAAAUGUACAAAAUAUCUACAAUAUUUUCAUACUUUCACAUAAAGAUUUUCUUUACUUCAUGGUACAUUUGCUGUAGCACAUGGAUUAAGAUGGGAACUAAAUAAUUUCACUGACCAUAUCACGUUUUGCAAACCCUGAGCUGAUGGUGUUUAGAACUCUCAUUUAAAAAAAAAUAAAUUAAACAUCCUGCUUAAGCACAGAUUUGUAUCAUUCUAAAUGUUGUGUUUGGAAACUAGCAGAAAAAAUAUUUGAGAUUUAAGUUUCUGUUGAAGGAAAAGGUCUUCCAAGUACAUAGCAAGUUUCUGGCUAGUUUCUGGGUUGGGCUUAUCAUAAACUUUCCCCUGUGGCAAAGUCAUCCAGUUCUGGACAUUUUUUUCUUUAUUUUCCCCAGAUUUUUUUUCUUUUCUUUUUUAAAAACACAGAUUUGUCCAAAGCAAUAAUUAGCACACAGUUCUUUAGUACUAAACGCACGAAAAUUCAAGCAUAUUUUUAUCAAAUAUACACAUCUGGCAAUGCUGUAUGUUAUUUAUGGUCUUUUUUGAUAAAAGCAUAAUUGAUUCAAAUGGGUGAUUCAAAAAUGUAAUUUACAGUCUAGCAUCUUGAUUCUAAAGUUUUAUUUUAAUAACAGCCACCAAGACAGUAAUCAAAUUAUUGGUGAGGCAAAGCUCACAAUUCCACAGAAUUUUUAUGUCUUCAUGCAUUAGAGUGAAGUUCUUGCUUAUCCCUGUCCUUUAUCUGUGUAAAGGGGGAUAUUUACUCCAACUGUGCAUUUUCCAUUCAUUGCAUGAUUCACUGAAUCACAAAAGAAAUACAAAGUUGAUCAACAAGCAAGCAUAAUUAUAAACUAUUAAGUUACUUUCCUCCAUUUUUAUUGCAGCCUUCUUUUUAGCCUGCUUCUGAAUCUGAAGAACAAAUUUCUGCUCUGCAUGGUGUUUUCUUGCCUUCUUUUAAGUCCCUUAAUAUGCCAGACCUCUCUUUUUCAGUCAUAUAAUUACAAUGAUUAGACUUUUUUUCUUUCCAUUCUGACUCUCGGGAACACAGAACUGUAUGUAACCUUUCAGUAUUGCUUUUAGGAAAACAAAGGCAGUUAAUACAUUUGUAAGGAAAAUUACAAAUGAAAGAACUCUGUGUACUUUAGGCAUCAGUUCAAGUUUUCUUUCUAAUAGUGUUCAGAAUGAUACUUAGGUGACACAUUUGGAAUCACAUAUUGCAGAAAAUAUAGUGGACAUCUGAAAAGAUCAGUUUUGUUACUAAGGUAUGUUGCCAUGGAUUGUUUACAAAUAUCCAGAUGUUCUUGAGUUUACCAUGAGCUUGAUUUGAAAGCCCAAGGCCACAUGUGUACUUUGUUCCUGUUUCUCUCUGUUCUCUAUAAUACGUACUCUAAAAACAGGCUGUAAUUUAGCAAAAAAACAACAACAACAACAAAAACCCCUAACCAACGACAACAACAAAACACCAUGAAAUUAAGAACUAUACAGGUAAAGAAAAUGUAUAUUUGAUCUUGCCAGCUAUAAAAGUCGUCCAUGUUUAUUGUUUUCUUUAUACAUUCUCAGAAAGAGAUUACAUAAACGCUGGACAAGAACAAAAAUGAUGCUGCAUACAGGUUUAAGUCUAGUUCAUGCUAUACCUAAGCACAUUUAUGCACAGUGGUCUGGCCAAAAUAAACAAAAACAGAACCAAGACAGUUGGAACAAAGUUGAAUAAUACAGCAAGUUCAUGACCUACUUUAAGAAAAAAUUGCCUACUACUUUCACAGAUGUUCACUGCUGUGAACUGGGCACGCUAUUCCAGCAUAUGAUUUCUAUUUCCUUCUAAUCUAAAUUAUAAUUUUAAAAAUUAAAAAAAUGAAAGAAAUCCAUUAAUUUCUGAACAAGUUCGUCUCCAAUUUGAAGUAAUGAGUUGUAAAACUGAUGCAAAAAUAAAAAGCAUUUCCAUUUCAAAAUGGAAAAUCAUACUCUUUCACUCUACAAACAAUGAAAUAGAAUACCCCCGCCACCUCGUUGGAAAGUGAUACUGGCAGCUGUGUCUCUUGUAGUGAAUGAAAGUAAGAAAUGAUCUUCAUAUUUACAUUUUACAUUGACUCCAGUAAAAUAUUUUAAAAUCAGAAAAUAGUAUAGAGUGGACAAGGAUUUUCCACUGAUCCUUUCCCACAGUAAGCUUGUCCAGUAGUAGAUGUCAUUAAGAUGCAUUUCAUUUCACUGCAGUUGGCAAUAAAGUAACACUUACACAGAAAUUAGUUCUAAAAUAUGAUAAUUAAUAAGUAACAGCUUAGUGGUUUCUAAGUUCUUCUGGAUUGUGAAAUAUUAUUGGUCCAGUCAGUGGACAUUUGUCCCAUUAAAAUACAUUUUAUGUGUAUAUUGAAAAUAAAGUUUCCUUACUCUUUCCUUCAUCAUUGUAUUCUUGAGAAAUUUUGUAUCCCAGUAGUUUUGCCUCAAAUUACUGCCUGAGCACAAAUCCCCAGGUUCUCUGUUUUCAGUCCCAGUUUAUUCUUGUUAUCUCCUUUACUAUUUCAGACAAUUUAAUCCUCUUUGCCAACAGCAGCAAGGAAUGUAAGGCUUCUAGAUGGCUCUAAAAUAAUAUUACUUUCAUCUUCUAUGCUUGUCUCCAUAUUCAAGACACUUUUAUUAAAUAACUCCCCAGCACAAGCUCUACAAUACAUCACGGAACAGAUGUUUUGAGUGUCAGUACAACAGUUAUUGGGGUAUUCUAUUUAUUUUAAUGGGACCCUGGAUCCCUGUAAAUGCAAGGAAUAUUCACAAAUUUACAUAAGAUUUUAU
ensembl:lncRNA